UACUGGCGGCGUGCCUAUACAUGCAAGUCGAACGCACAGCGAAAGGUGCUUGCACCUUUCAAGUGAGUGGCGAACGGGUGAGUAACACGUGGACAACCUGCCUCAAGGCUGGGGAUAACAUUUGGAAACAGAUGCUAAUACCGAAUAAAACUUAGUGUCGCAUGACACAAAGUUAAAAGGCGCUUCGGCGUCACCUAGAGAUGGAUCCGCGGUGCAUUAGUUAGUUGGUGGGGUAAAGGCCUACCAAGACAAUGAUGCAUAGCCGAGUUGAGAGACUGAUCGGCCACAUUGGGACUGAGACACGGCCCAAACUCCUACGGGAGGCUGCAGUAGGGAAUCUUCCACAAUGGGCGAAAGCCUGAUGGAGCAACGCCGCGUGUGUGAUGAAGGCUUUCGGGUCGUAAAGCACUGUUGUAUGGGAAGAACAGCUAGAAUAGGAAAUGAUUUUAGUUUGACGGUACCAUACCAGAAAGGGACGGCUAAAUACGUGCCAGCAGCCGCGGUAAUACGUAUGUCCCGAGCGUUAUCCGGAUUUAUUGGGCGUAAAGCGAGCGCAGACGGUUUAUUAAGUCUGAUGUGAAAGCCCGGAGCUCAACUCCGGAAUGGCAUUGGAAACUGGUUAACUUGAGUGCAGUAGAGGUAAGUGGAACUCCAUGUGUAGCGGUGGAAUGCGUAGAUAUAUGGAAGAACACCAGUGGCGAAGGCGGCUUACUGGACUGCAACUGACGUUGAGGCUCGAAAGUGUGGGUAGCAAACAGGAUUAGAUACCCUGGUAGUCCACACCGUAAACGAUGAACACUAGGUGUUAGGAGGUUUCCGCCUCUUAGUGCCGAAGCUAACGCAUUAAGUGUUCCGCCUGGGGAGUACGACCGCAAGGUUGAAACUCAAAGAAUUGACGGGGACCCCACAGCGGUGGAGCAUGUGGUUUAUUCGAAGCACGCGAAAAACCUUACAGGUCUUGACAUCUUGAGCUUUUAGAGAUAGAGUGUUCUCUUCCGAAACAAAUGACAGGGGUGCAUGGUCGUCCUCCCUCGUGUCGUGAGAUGUUGGUUAGUCCCGCACGAGCGCACCCCUUUUGUAGUGCAGCAUCAAUGGCCUCUACCAGACUGCGGUGACAACCGAAGAGGGGGACACUCAAUCUCUGCCCUA
rnacentral:rRNA from 1 species